UACGGAGGGUGCAAGCGUUAAUCGGAAUUACUGGGCGUAAAGCGCACGCAGGCGGUUUGUUAAGUCAGAUGUGAAAUCCCCGAGCUUAACUUGGGAACUGCAUUUGAAACUGGCAAGCUAGAGUCUUGUAGAGGGGGGUGGAAUUCCAGGUGUAGCGGUGAAAUGCGUAGAGAUCUGGAGGAAUACCGGUGGCGAAGGCGGCCCCCUGGACAAAGACUGACGCUCAGGUGCGAAAGCGUGGGGAGCAAACAGG
rnacentral:rRNA from 1 species